rnacentral:rRNA from 1 species
GACGAACGCUGGCGGCGUGCUUAACACAUGCAAGUCGAACGGAAAGGCUCCACUUUGUUGGGGUACUCGAGUGGCGAACGGGUGAGUAACACGUGAGUAAUCUGCCCUGCACUCUGGGAUAACCUUAGGAAACUGGGUCUAAUACUGGAUAUGAGCUCUCGCCGUAUGGGGGUUGUUGGAACGUUUGGCCGGGUGGGAUGAGACGCGGGCUUAUCAGCUUGUUGGUGGGGUGAUGGCCUACCAAGGCGAUGCCGGGUAGGCGGCAUGGGAGGGUGAACGGCCACAUUGGGACUGCGAUACGGCCCAGACUCCUACGGGAGGCAGCAGUGGGGAAUAUUGCACAAUGGGCGGAAGCCUGAUGCAGCGACGCCGCGUGUGGGAUGACGGCCUUCGGGUUGUAAACCGCUUUCAGCUGGGACGAAGCGUAAGUGACGGUACCAGCAGAAGAAGCACCGGCUAACUACGUG